rnacentral:rRNA from 1 species
AUUGAACGCUGGCGGCAUGCUUUACACAUGCAAGUCGAACGGCAGCAUAGGUGCUUGCACCUGAUGGCGAGUGGCGAACGGGUGAGUAAUAUAUCGGAACAUGUCCGGAAGUGGGGGAUGACGUAGCGAAAGUUACGCUAAUACCGCAUAUGCCCUGAGGGGGAAAGGAGGGGAUCGCAAGACCUUUCGCUUUCGGAGUGGCCGAUAUCGGAUUAGCUAGUAGGUGAGGUAAAGGCUCACCUAGGCGACGAUCCGUAGCUGGUCUGAGAGGACGACCAGCCACACUGGGACUGAGACACGGCCCAGACUCCUACGGGAGGUAGCAGUGGGGAAUUUUGGACAAUGGGCGCAAGCCUGAUCCAGCCAUGCCGCGUGUGUGAAGAAGGCCUUAUGGUUGUAAAGCACUUUAAGCGAGGAGGAGGCUCUUUUGGUUAAUACCCAAGAUGAGUGGACGUUACUCGCAGAAUAAGCACCGGCUAACUCUGUGCCAGCCGCCGCAGUAA